UACGGGGGGGGCGAGUGUUGUUCGGAAUCACUGGGCGUAAAGGGCGCGUAGGCGGCCCGCACAAGUCUGCGGUGAAAACCCCCGGCUUAACCGGGGGCCGGCCGUGGAAACUGUCGGGCUGGAGGCUGGGAGAGGGCAGCGGAAUUCCCGGUGUAGCGGUGAAAUGCGUAGAGAUCGGGAGGAACACCGGCGGCGAAGGCGGCUGCCUGGACCAGUCCUGACGCUGAGGCGCGAAAGCUAGGGGAGCAAACAGG
rnacentral:rRNA from 1 species